AUCAUUUGUUGGCCUUUUGGCUAAGAUCAAGUGUA
rnacentral:snRNA from 1 species